GAUAUUGAAUUUUCUUUGUUUUCUUUGAACCACUUAUAAAAAAAAGGAGAAUUAUAUUAUAGUAAAUGAAGUA
rnacentral:tRNA from 1 species